rnacentral:tRNA from 1 species
UGGGAUAUAGCUCAGUGGCAAAGCAUUUGCUUAGCAAAUGCAAGGUCCUGGGUUCUAAUCCCAGUACCAA